rnacentral:tRNA from 1 species
GCCUCCUUAGCUCAGGGCAGAGCACUGGUCUUGUAAACCAGGGGUCGUGAGUUCGAUUCUCACAGGGGCA